AAUACAGAAUUCAAGAGUCCCUUAUGUUUCAAGAGCCCCUUUUAAGAAAUUCAGAUGAAUUAUUUGAUUAGUCUUAACCCCAAUUCACUCUUCAUAUUUUAGCCAAGUGUAGAAACCUAGACUGUUUUCCAAGUGUCCUUGGCUUUUCAUAGAAUAGCUACUCGUCCUAGAUGUCCUGGGACAUAGCUGAAAGGUCUGCUAUAGCAAUAUGUUAUUGGUACAAUUAUCUACAGCAUUUGUAGUCCUCCUUCCUCAAUUGAUGGCAACCCUGGGAUUGGGGUGGGUGGACCCUUGGUGGAAACAGUAAAGAACCUUAAUUUUCCCUUUGUUGCUGGCUCAUUUGUUCCUUUAUAGUGAUAUCAUAUAUGUGGCAAGUCCUAAGUGGGUUAAUUUGUGAGACAGGACCAUCUGCUUGGAAAUUAUAUUUGACUCUGAAGGAAGACAGAGGAGACAAAGCAACACUGUAAGAAAAUAAAGGAGAGACUUACCACUAUGGAUUGACCCUUGGUUGAGGUCUAAAGUAAUAGAGGCGAAGAUGACCUUCAUCAGUGCUCAACUCAGCGAAAAGGAAA
rnacentral:lncRNA from 1 species